rnacentral:lncRNA from 1 species
UGGAGCUUGGUGCUGGGGAGAGGUGGCGAGACAGGGCAUCCCUCCUGUGCCAGCCUCCCUUGGCCCCAGCCUGCAGCAGGGGAAUGAAUGCCUGGAGCCCACAGAUCAGAUCUCGCUGCCCUCUCCCACCCCUCACCGGCCUGCACCUCCCUGGACCGGGCAGAUCCACUCUCACAUCCAGCUGUGGCCCAGAGAGCAUCUUACGUGGGUGAACGUUAUCCCCUUCUGCCUUUUCCCAGCAGUUCUCUCCCCCAGGCCUCUCCUGCCACACACUGUGGGCUAUCUCAGG